rnacentral:rRNA from 1 species
UACGGAGGGGGCGAGCGUUAUUCGGAAUUAUUGGGCGUAAAGGGCGCGUAGGCGGCUGAACAAGUCAAAGGUGAAAUCCCUCGGCUCAACUGAGGAACUGCCUUUGAAACUGUUCGGCUUGAGGCCGGGAGGGGGUAGCGGAAUUCCCAGUGUAGCGGUGAAAUGCGUAGAUAUUGGGAGGAACACCGGUGGCGAAGGCGGUUCUCUGGGCCUGUACUGACGCUGAGGAACGAAAGCGUGGGGAGCGAACAGG